CGUCCUUGCCAUCCUCCUCUUCCUCUUCCUCUUCCCUCCUCCACUUCUUUCUUUUUUCCUCACCUCCUCCUUAUUCCCACACUCAGGUUCUUCCUCUCAUAAGCCUCUGAGAAGUCCACUGAAGAUCCUCCUUAACAAUCUCUCGUCUCCACCACCGCCGCCACCGCCACCACCACCACAGCCACCACCACCACCACCGCCACAACUAGCACCAUCCUCAUCGUGUCCACCACCACCACCACCAAUACCACCACUGCUCCACAAUUAAAAUAUCAGUGAUCUAGAAAGCCUGGCAACGACCUUCCAGCUGUUGGUCAAUCUGAGGACAUCUUUCUCGCUUUGAGGCUUGGACAUUGGAGUGAUGAUGGAACACAAAUGCCCUGUCACAUAAAACAGCGAGACACCAUCCCCCCACAGGAAACAGUCAGGGAAAGCUGCCAAGACGACCGCCCGAGGAUCCGCGACCUUGAGGAGGGAGACUCAUGUGCCUUCCCGACCCCGGCGUGCCCUCUGUCUGGGGCCGGUUUUCACACGAAGCAAAAACUGCUUCCAGCCAGACGUCUCGAUGACACCUAACAGCCAUAUACAGCA